AUUGAACGCUGGCGGAAUGCUUUACACAUGCAAGUCGAACGGUAGAGGGGGCAACCCCUCGAGAGUGGCGAACGGGUGAGUAAUAUAUCGGAACGUGCCCAGUCGUGGGGGAUAACGUAGCGAAAGUUACGCUAAUACCGCAUACGAUCUAAGGAUGAAAGCGGGGGAUCGAAAGACCUCGCGCGAUUGGAGCGGCCGAUAUCGGAUUAGGUAGUUGGUGGGGUAAAGGCUCACCAAGCCAACGAUCUGUAGCUGGUCUGAGAGGACGACCAGCCACACUGGAACUGAGACACGGUCCAGACUCCUACGGGAGGCAGCAGUGGGGAAUUUUGGACAAUGGACGCAAGUCUGAUCCAGCCAUUCCGCGUGCAGGAUGAAGGCCCUCGGGUUGUAAACUGCUUUUGUACGGAACGAAAAGGUCUCUCUUAAUACGGGGGACUCAUGACGGUACCGUAAGAAUAAGCACCGGCUAACUACGUGCCAGCCGCCGCCGUAA
rnacentral:rRNA from 1 species